CAGGAGCGGCUCGCAGCUUACAAAGCAAAUGAAAAUUGUUACCUGAAUGAAUAUUCAUUGUAUGAUGACUGUAAUUCUGUCAACUAAAUUGCCUGUAUGUCGUAAAGUGCUCUGUUUAAACAAAAAAUAAUGAAAACUUAAUCAAAUAAUAUGUAAUAUACACAAUUAAAUGAAAUGUUUCUUAUUAGUUAAUAAUUAUAGAUUUAAU
rnacentral:sRNA from 1 species